ACUGCGCAGCCUCAGCCAGUUCAACAAGUCCCGAUAAGCUGGAACUCAACUGCUAUAAAACAGCAACCCUGGAAAGGGAAGUUGCGUGCUGUUGUGGAGCGGAGACUCCCCAGCCACCCAGUGCUGUUUUGCUUGUGUCUGCUUACUUGAUUAAUAAAAUAAUUUCAAUAGACCAGUAAAUUGUGUGGUCUAAUUUAUAACAAUUUGGUGCCGUGACUCGGAUGAAGGCAAUCUGAUUGAAAGACCUUCGGAGGGGGCGCCCCGCUGAUUUCAGCGGCCUUCGCUAGGACUACUUUCAUUCAAAUCCUUCACCGAUGAACCCAAAAUUAGACACAAGCAAAUAAAACCUGGUAAACCCCAGGCAACCUUUGUGCACAAAGCCGGAACGAAGACCCACAGGGUGGUGCUGUAUGGUAUGCCCUAUGACUUGGAAUUGCCACUUGAUCACCCUCAAUUCUAAUUAAGACUUGGAAAGAGACUGCUUUAACACCACGAUGGGGAAGGCCCCUAUGUUGUUUUGCUUACCACAGAAACGGCUGUUCGAACUGCGGAGAAAGGAUGGACGCAUGCCAGCCGUGUGAAAGGACCAAUCCGGGAAGGUAAAUGGGAGGCAGCUCCAGGCCCUGACGACUUGAAGCUGACACUAAGACGGACUCGAUAAGUAUUUUAUAUUAUCUGUGUAUCGUGGGAAGGGGAGGAGGCCCUGUUUCAAAAGCUCCCUAGUAGGUUCCCCUGAAGAACACUGCUGCUGCCAAGAAGAACCGAUACCUUGUAGUUCGCUGCAACCGAACUAACAAGCGAGGCAGAGAAGUGAAAACGGUGGGGGACUGAGGGGCCGACAAUUUAGAUGGGCUCCAACCACCUCCUACGAUACAUGGGAGUCAGUAUCAUCAUUUUGGUCAGCUAUGGGUCUGCGCAUCCCCAUCAGCCUUUUAAAUGGAGCUUGAUCAGAUGGAAGGAUCAAUUCGUCAUCCAGCAAACAACGACAGCAGGUGCUCCCAGUUUCUGCAUCACAUUAUGUGACCUGGUGUCAGUGCAGCCAUGCUUUAACUGAUCAGGAUUUUGUUUCUGCCCAAGUUCUAACCCAGGAAAGGGGUACUGUAAUUACCCGAACAUGUAUUAUUGUGCAUACUGGGGGUGUGAAACCAUUGCUAUGGACUGGACACUCGGGGCUGGUCGGAAUAAAUUCUUACAAGUGGGAUAUGGGCCGCAAGGUUGUAACCAACAAGCACGUCCCCGUUACAGGUGGUGAGGGCAUGGUAUAGGGUAUACAGGAACCUUUCAUGGAAAUAAAGAAAUUUGCAAGGUUCUAUAUAUAAAUAUAACAAACUUGGAUGAUACUAGCUGGGUACUAGGAAAAAUGUGAGGUGUCAGAUUUUACAAACACAGAACAGAUAGGGGAGGACUCAUACUAAUAAAAAGGAGGAUGCCGAUAGGCCCCAGGCAGUAGGACCAAAUGAGGUAUUGUCAGAAAAUGUCCAGGGAAUCCAGCCUGCGGAAAAUACUACACUUCCAACCCUCGGCAGCCCUACGAGCUCAGGUAAAGCCGAGAAUGAUAACAUAGCUGAGAAUAACAUAUGGGGGGGUCAUGAAUGCCAGCUACCAAUUAUUAAACAAAACAAACCCAAAUGUAACAAAACACUGUUGAUUAUGCUUUAGUAUAAGGCCUUCAUAUUAUGAUGCUAUCGGGAAUCCUGGGGAGCCCUCCCGCACAAACGAGAACAACCCUCUACAAUGCAGUUGGGGAAAAGACAUAAGGGUAACACUAACACAAGUCACUGGAGGUGGUAGGUGUGUGUGCACGGUUCCUAGUGGGAAGUGUCACCUAUGUAAUAUCAUGGAGAAUGGAAAACAAUCAGCCGAGUGGUUAAUCCCAGCCAACAACGCUAGGUGGGUUUGUUUGUGAGUGGGCAUAACUCCUUGUCUAUCACUAAAACUCUUUAAUGUGUCUCGUGAUUUCUGUAUACAGGUGAUAAUUAUACCAAGGAUUCUAUACCACCCUGAGGAUUAUAUGUACACCCAGACACAGUGGAAAGUCAUCAUCUGGAAAGAUGGGAACCAUUCACGGCUCUAACUUUGGCCACCCUAAUAAUCCUGGGAGGAGCUGGAGUGGGGACCAGGGUAGCCUCAUUGGUUAAACAAAAUCAAGAAUUUACUUCCUUAUGCAUUGCUGUGGACGAGGACCUGACCCAAAUUGAACAAUCCAUCUCAGCCCUGGAAAAUCUAUCAGGUCGCUUUCAGAGGUAGUGUUACAAAAUCGUAGGGGAUUAAAUUUGGUAUUUUUUACAACAGGGCGGGCUGUGUGCAGCCCUGAAAGAGGAAUGCUGUGUGUAUGCUGAUCACACUGGAGAGGUAAGAGAUACAAUGGCAAGACCCAGGGAAGGGCUGAAAAAAAAAAGGAAACGGGAGAAUGAAGCCCGACAGAACUGGUAUGAAUCUUGGUUUAAUUAUUCACCUUGGCUUACUACUUUAUUAUCAACAAUAACAGGACCUUUGUUGUUCUUAAUAAUAGCACUAACUUUUGGACCAUGUAUUUUUAAUAAAUUGAUUGCGAUUGUAAAGGGAUAUUUAGAAGCGGCACAUAUAAUGCUCAUACAUGCCAGAUACGAGCCAAUAAGUACCAACGAAGGAAUCGAGGAAACAUUAGUUCUUAGUAGCCAGGCAUUGCCGAGAUUCAAUGAACAAAAUGAGUAACUAAAAGAAAAAGGAGGGAUUGUAAUACACAAUAAAUGUUUGUUCAUUGUCUUUUGUA